rnacentral:misc_RNA from 1 species
GAAAUAGUCAACUUUUAGUAUCAAAUGUCUCAUUCAUUCUUUCAUUUGAGAAUGAAUGCGAUAAGACAAAGAAACCUUUUCUUCUGAUGAUGAUACACAUGAACCUAAAAUCUAUACUGCAGCCCGUUUCAUAAACAUUCAUCUAGAGGGUUUUUUAUUUCGUUUCUUGGCAUUCUUCACAAGUGCAUCACAAAUCUCCCUUUUUCUUCCGGAGGCAGCACUAAUAUUAGGGUUAGUAGCAGCAACAUUGGCUGAGUUACUGUUGUCACCUUUGCUUGAACUCUUACCAUCAACUUCUAAUGCAUCCUUGGUGAAGAAUUUUAGCCUCCAUAGUGUCAAUUCGCUCUGGGCAUCUAUGUCAAGUUCCACCUCUUCUGCUGAAGCUGGAAAUAGUGGGUUAUUUUGUGCUACUAUCUCCAGUGCCUUACUAAGAUCAUCAGGAGAUAACUUCGUGAGAGCUAUCCCUAGAUUUCUCUUCUCCUCUAUUGAUAUUUUCCUGCAUCUUCUGACCACCAUCUCUCUGA